GCAGAUUCUCCUGUUCCUUCCCUGGUGGCCUCAGUCUUUUGGCGGCGCCCUCUGCUGGCCACUAUGAAGUGCAGGAAAAAACAGUCUGAAGAUAGACGCUUGGUGGAUCUGGGGAAGGGGACAAGAGGCAGAGAAACAAGUGAAAACUGGGAACUGAGAGCAGCGCUGGGCUGGCCAUAAACAAGCGAGGCAUGGUGACGCCUUCCUGGAGGCCCCCUUCCAGACCCUGCCUGGGUAAAGAGGACUCCCAGAAGCAGUGAUUGAAGGCCCAGGAGGAUACAGAGAGCCAGGUGCUUUAAUUGGAGGAGCAGAGCACUGUGCCAGCUGCCACUCCCAUCCCCCACCAUGAGGCCUUCAGGCCAGUGGACAACAUGUCUUCAUUCAGAGUCUGAGGCCAUGUCCCUGAGACCCUUCCCUCCAGCCUCAACUCCCAUUCCAGGAGCCUCUGACUCAGGAGAGCACCAGGAAGCCUGCGUGGGCCAGAUGCAAGCCAGGAAGAAGAGGACUAGGAAAGGAGACAGAAGCCUCUAUCCUACCCUCCUGGAACAUAGAGGUAUCCAGCGACAUCAGUCUGGGAGACUGUGCCCAGACUCAGGGACCCUACCAGGAGACUGCUGGGUGACUCCUAAGUCAGGAGUGUUAGCCUUGCCUAGCCUUUCCUUUAAUUAACAAUAAUAAUAGUCAACAUUUCUAUACCUCCUACUGUGUACAAGGCAGUGUUCUGCUUUAGGUAUAUUAUCUCAUUUAAUUCUCACAACAACCCUAAGAGGCCAAUGCUAUUAUUGUCUUCAUUUUACAGAUGGGGAAACCUAGGCACAGAGAGGGUAACUUUCUUUCCCAGAGUCACUCAGCUUGCACACAGCAGAGCUAGGAUUUGGCCCCAGCCAGCCUGCCUUGAGUUUGUGCUCUUACCCACCCCAGAGCACUCUCAGACAGCAUUGCCUGACUUUUCCUGAGCCAGUGCUUCUGAUUCCCCCUGGGGUGUAACAGCUGAUACCCUGUUUAUACCACAACACCUGGGAUGGGAGCUUCACCCAGGGGUG